AACUUUACCAGUCUUCCUUCUUCUGUGUGCUACGUUGAAGCCUGUAACAGAAGAGGAAAUGUCUGAGUGGCUACUUGAAGUCUAGCAAAAAAGCUCCAUAUUCAUGAGGACCGACAGUCAAACUACUUAUUCCAAAAUUUAGGAGCGAGUCGCUGACUAUGAUAUAUCAACCGCAUGAACUGAAGUAACCUACCUUCAGACCACGCUCUAGAAUUUCUUCUGCCUUUGCUCCCCUAACAGUACAGUGCACAGCAAUCUUCUCAUUACGACGAAUACCAAAGGAACGAACGGUAUAACGAGCCUUGGAAAAUACUGGCUGCUGUCCGGUAAGCUGCUCCAAUA